rnacentral:rRNA from 1 species
AUUGAACGCUGGCGGCAUGCCUUACACAUGCAAGUCGAACGGUAGAGGGGGCAACCCCUUGAGAGUGGCGAACGGGUGAGUAAAGCAUCGGAACGUACCCAGUUGUGGGGGAUAACUGCUCGAAAGAGUGGCUAAUACCGCAUAAGACCUGAGGGUGAAAGGGGGGGAUCGCAAGACCUCUCGCGAUUGGAGCGGCCGAUGUCAGAUUAGGUAGUUGGUGGGGUAAAGGCCUACCAAGCCUGCGAUCUGUAGCUGGUCUGAGAGGAUGGCCAGCCACACUGGGACUGAGACAUGGCCCAGACUCCUACGGGAGGCAGCAGUGGGGAAUUUUGGACAAUGGGGGCAACCCUGAUCCAGCCAGGCCGCGUGCGGGAAGAAGGCCUUCGGGUUGUAAACCGCUUUUGUCAGGGAAGAAAUCUUCUGGGUUAAUACCCUGGGGGGAUGACGGUACCUGAAGAAGAAGCACCGGCUAACUACGUGCCAGCAGCCGCCGUAA